GAAAGGAGCACAAUCCAUGUAUGUAAGAGGCUAAUUCAUGUUACAAAGGAAACUUGUUUGCUAAAAGAAGAGAAACCAUUGUGUUAAAGAAGGCGAAGUCAAAAACCAUGAAGAUUACAUCAGUGAACUCAUUAGGAGGUUGAACUAUUCUUUUAAAGAUUAUGGUUUAUUUUAGUAGUCUUGAUAUCAAUGUUUGUUCUUAUGUUAGAAUUAGAAAUUCUUAUUGAAAUAUUUUGAUAUAAUUAAUAAGUUUAUGUGUAAUUAAUAUAUAUAGGUGGUUACAUUAAUUGUUUAAACUAGGUUCAUGUAUAUCAAUAUUUGGAUAUAUUUUAAUUAAUAAAAUUUAAUUUAAUUUUAUUGGUUGUA